UACUCCUUAAAAUCUAAUGGAACAAUAUACGUUUCAUUCAAAUCCUCCAACUUAGGUUUCUCCAAUUUCAGUUCCUUUUUCUGGACACCAUUAACAGGCGUAUCUUCUGAAAACUUUUGCUUCAACUCUGGACGUUUUUGCCCUUGAGGUGGUGACAUGGUUUGCUCCAACUUAGGUUUCUCCAGUUUCAAGUCCUUUUUUGGGACAACAUUAACAUGUGUAUCUUCUGAAAACUUUUGCUUCAAUUCUGGAAGCUUUUGCCCUUGAGGUGGUGACAAGGUUUGAGCCUUUCUUAAAGCUCCUUGUAUAUCCUCAUGUUUACAGGGCUCAGUUAUGACAGAUACUGCAUACUGAGCACUGGGUACAUUAGGUACAUUAGGAACAGCAAGGGUGACUUUAUUAGAAAAAUAUGUGUU
rnacentral:lncRNA from 1 species